rnacentral:rRNA from 1 species
UACGUAGGGUGCAAGCGUUGUCCGGAAUUAUUGGGCGUAAAGAGCUCGUAGGCGGUCUGUCGCGUCGGCUGUGAAAACCCGGAGCUCAACUCCGGGCCUGCAGUCGAUACGGGCAGACUGGAGUUCGGUAGGGGAGACUGGAAUUCCUGGUGUAGCGGUGAAAUGCGCAGAUAUCAGGAGGAACACCGGUGGCGAAGGCGGGUCUCUGGGCCGAUACUGACGCUGAGGAGCGAAAGCGUGGGGAGCGAACAGG